UACAAUACAAAUUUAGCAGCAGCGUUCGUAAAUGAGGCGAGUAAUCAGCGAGUGGUUUGCGCAAUGAAUUUUAUGUUAAAUUUCAUUCAAUAGGAUAUUUUGGAAAUUUACAUUUCAAAUUGUAAUUUGAAUAGCAUAAAAAUCGCAAAAAUUAGUAUUUUAAUUAUGUAGGUUAUAGUAGUAUAUAUAAAAUAUUGUCAUCGAUCGUACGCAGACGCAGUAGUUUACAGCAGUUUGUCACAGUAGAGACAUGACAGAGAAAUCACCAACAACGCAACGGAAGCGAACACAAAAGAGUAACAGAAAAACGGCAUUUCCAAAGAACAUAUAUAUAAAAAAAAACAUUGAAAUUAUUGGAAAAAAGAAAUCGAGAGAAAAAAGAGAAGAAAGAAUUCAUUUAUGGAUUGUACUUGAUUAGUAAAAUAAAAUAAAUUUAAUAGAGACUAUACUUAAUUUUUAGGUUCAUAUUUUUUUUUUCUUUUUGGUAUGAAAAUUUACGCAUUUUAAAGUGUAAAAAAUUGUCAGAAUACUACGAAAAUUGUAUUGUGAACAAAGAGUGUUAAAUCUAGCUGAUUUAUCAAUCUUUGUAUUGCCAUUCGAAUUUUGAGGAAUUUUUGAGAGAGUACCAGAACUAUCAAACAUGCUUUUUUUACGUAGUAGAUUAUGGAGUUCGCAUUUUAACAAAACUUCGUACAGUACCAGGAAAAAAUAAUGCACUUAAAAGUUUUGCUUAAUCAUUAGGGUUCGAGGAAACUGACAUUUCUUUUCGAAAAAUUUUGAUUUCCUCAAAUCUCAAAAUAGUGCAUUUUUUUGGUAAUUUUUUCUUUGUUUCAACUAGACUCUGGUAAUCUCCUUGGGAGUACCAAAUUCAAUCCAUGUGUCUGAUUUUGCGAGCGUUUUCUUGGCUGAAGUUUUGACUAUCGCCGAAGGCAAUUGAAAUCGAUUUAGGAGAGAAGUUCUUUUAAAAGAGUUUGUAAUCAGUUCAAAGUAGACUUAAUUUGGUUUUUUGGACCUAUUGUAAUAUACCCGGAAAAGAGGAUGUUGAUGAGUUAUCUAUCGGAAAUAUCGGAGAAUUUGUUUACAAUCCCCAGCAGUCGGGUCUUAAGUGGCGGAUAGUCUCAGACUGCGGAAUUGUCUAACCCAUGUGGCCCGAGUACAACCUCAAAAGAAUACGCAAUUUAUUGGUAAAAAAAAAAACUGGCGGGCCAAACGCGACUUGUAAGCUAAGUUUUUUCGUCAAGUUUUUUACCUAACCUAUACCCAGCGCUUCUCCGAGGGGAGAUGCAGAUCGUCCAUUGGCCGCAGACCGUCCAUAAAAGCAACAAACCAAUAUGUAUAUUCCUUGAGUUCACAAAAAAAUUUGUCUUCAAAGAAUUACCCUUAGGCGCUUAGAGACAGCGGCGGUGAUGGAAUGGCUCUUAACAUUUGUCAAACUUUAAUUGAUCGGA